UGUUGUACUUACACUAAGUAAAGUACCUCAAUCAUAUUUUCAUUUUAUGCUUUGUACUCCACUACAUUUAUUUGACAGCUUUAGUUACUUUUCAGAUCAAGAUAUUCUAUUUCUCUAUAUGAAAUGAUUGUGUUAUAGAUCGAAGUAUAGUUAAGUAUAUUAUGCAUUUAAAAUUAGCUCCACCUCAACCAGCCGUAACAUUAAAGAACUGUUUAUAUGUUAAUGCAUCAAUUAUAAUGGUCCUGUUGUAUAUGAUGGAACACUGAAACACUCACAGGGCCCAUUCUGACAAAUACUUUAAUACUUUUUCAAUGCAGGACUUCUACUUUCAUUAAGUAUAAUUGAGUAUUUCUAUACUUUUACUUAAAUGAUUUCAAUACUCCACCAUCCACUGAUACUUUAUAACACCCAUAGGGGGCAGCAGUGCACUUUCAGUCAGUGCUGCCCACACCCAAACUAAAGCUAUGAGCACUGCCAUGGAACUGAGCCUACCCACUUUAAAUACAAGAGACAUUGCUCACUGUACAGUUAUGUUGUGAGUGUGACCUGUGCCGCUUUCAGCCUGCUUGCAUUGCCAUUUCCCAGCAAAUUUUAAGCUGGUGACUUACAAACCUUUAAGCUUGUGACCCCAAAAAGAACCACUGCUUAUUAAAAAGUCAUGUCCUGACUCCAAAUAUUGCUAUGUAUUCUUUCUUUUCAGGCUCUUAAAUGUCAUAAAAUGGAGCCAAGGCUCUGAAUCAAGGCUACAGGUGACUUUCCUAUAAGGUAGGCUAUAUUUUGGGACCUCAUCUCCACAAAGGAGGAGGUGGUGUGGCAGGGUGGACUCACCACAGCAGUCUGGGUCUUAUAGUUCAUGUGGGCGUAGAGCAGCACAGCUGUGUCGUUGUGCGACGCCUCCAGUGCGAUGGACAGAGCAUUGCUGCCAUCCUACAGACAGACGAGAGAGGAAGGAGCACAUAAAAUAGGAAGAGGGCAGAGAGUAAAAGUGAGUUCAAUGACCAUUACAACACAUUCUAACUGUCAGAGCUUUACAAUUUGAUCUUCAUUACACACAGUUGAUCCCUUUUCCUGUCUGGAUAUGUAACAUCGCUACUGGGAUGGAUGUUGGGAUCCUUGAUUGGGCAGUAAACAACCAGGACUUUCAUCCGUCCUGCAUCCUCAGCAUUUCUUUGUUUUGUUUUUUUUUAAAUUGUACUUUCCCUUCUAUUACAAUAUCAAAAAUAUCAAGCAGUAAGAAAGAUUCUGUACAUUUAAAUCCUAUAUUAAGGAGUAAUAGGGGUUUCAUGAAAACCAGACGUUAAGUCUUCUACAGCCCAUUCUUCUGCAGUCAGUGUAAGUUGCUCUGGUUGAUAGUAAAAAGUACAAAAUCUGCUAAAAAAAAGAGAAAAAGCCCUCAGUACAUAUCUUGGUCACAAGUUUUUUAAGUUGAGGGAUCUUUAUAACAGUGCUUGUUAUUAUAUCAACCAAUAUCACAUAAUGUUAUCAGAUUUUUAAAAAACAACUCAAUAUUAAUAUCAGUAGCAAGUGUGACUGCUGGGAGAAUAAUUCUUGUAUGACUUGCUUGUACUUUACAAAGCACGAAGAACAGACUGAAUUGCACACGUGAAGGAACAUUAUAGCAGGACUGUUGGGAAGGUGUUGGGAAUGGUUUAGCCUAUUUUAUUGUCUAUUGUUUUUGGAGAGCAAUGAAUUUACUCUACAAGUUGGCACGUGGCUUUCGUCUGUUCUAUUCUUUGCGAGUGUAGCUAUAACUUACUAGGAAACUGUAAUGCUUCCAAACAAAAUACCUAAAUGACAGUCACUCAUUUGCAUUGGCCAUAUGAGCUAUACAUGUAGUGGCUAACCCAACUAGCAUGGUCUAGCUAACGGGCAACAACUGUUCCACUGCCAAAGCUGUUCAGGUAUAGCACUCUCACAUUGGCAUUUAUUUUCCACACGUGGUGACGUCAAACUAAUUAGACAGUAUUAUGCUAAUUCAACAGAAAUUAUUUCAUUGAGCGAACCAAAAGAAAGUUGUGUCCUUUCUGUAAAAUCUAACUAGCUAAUAAGGCUAAGCAAUAGCACUGUACAUAUUACUCCACUGUGUUUUACAGUCAUGCUGUUCUGUGUUUUCAGAGGACAGGGGAGGUGGGGGCUUUUCCAAAUGUUUUCCAUCCCCCCAGUCCAGCUGUGCUGCAUUGAAGCACAACCCAGGGGCUGUCUGCACUGAAUGGCCAACUCAUUUUUGGCACAGAUGUGAGCACUCAAAUAUCUGUCUGCCUGGCCUCUCCAAGCAUCCAGACCAAUCCUCUGUAAAAUCACUUUAAAACACACGGCUGUGCAGAUUAUCAGAAAAUCAAGCGUCAAGUAUCACAAUCAGAAAUGAGUUUUGUCCCUGGGUAAGACCUGAGGAAUUUGAGAAGAGUAAAUGUUCCCACUGAAAGCUGGUAGGUAAUCUAAGUUGGUUGGUUGACAAAAUAAUAACAGUAAUCACUGAUUAGGACAGGAUGGGUUUUGGGAAAUUAACAGUUGCUGCUGACUUGUGUGUGGGUCAUGUGGUGAAGCAUGCAGAGGACUCGUGCAAGAGCCUGCAGGGCAUUGUCUGGCAUCUGCAAGUCCGCGGUUGUGAACAGAGGAGUUGUGGCGUUUUAAGUCAUCCCCCGUGGGCUUGUGAGUAGCCCAGUGAUUGUGUUUCCUGUAAACAGUGCUGAUUUCAGUAGAAAGCAGAUGAAACAAAUCUGAUCACAGCUCUUAAUCUCUCAGCCUAUCUUGCUAAUGAAGAAAAACACGAAAUAAGAGAAGAAAAAGACAAGGUGACAAGGAGAGGAAACUGCAUGGACCAAUUUCCCAUGAGGAGCCAUUUCCUGAGAACAGAUUAAGCUAAAUCCCAGACGAGAAAGCGCUGAGAUGUUUCCAGCAGUUGGCUUGCAAGCUCAGGGCUGUUCCAGGAGCAGUUUCACAAUCUCAGCACGGCCGUGUUCGCUAGCACACAUCAGUGCCGUGGAUCCCUCGUCAUCCUGCACGUUAACGUCAGCACCACUUUCCAGCAGCGCCCGCACCAUCUCCUGUCGGCCGUGGCUAACAGCUAGCAUCAACGCUGUCUGGCCCGCCUGCACAGCAGCCCCACCACACGGAAGUUGGAGUGGGAGACGCUGUAGUGGAGAGCUGUGUUGCCGUUGCCGUCGGUCAUGUUGACUACGUGCUCCAGCAGUACUGACGACACCUCAGAGAACGCCAUCAGGUAGUCUGAGACCCUUGAAGGCUGAGCCAUCUUGGCGCUAGAGAUCCGAAACCACUCGAGCUGGACAGUGUGGGUGCUGGAGAGCUGUAGAUGUUUCUUCCUCCAGAGCCGCCUCAUCAUCCUCCUCUGUGCUGUCCAAGCACUCGCCUUCACCACUUUCUCCAGAAGAACUCCCAUCUUCCUCCUCCUCCUCCUCUUCAUCUUCACUGGAUGUAGAUUCAUACCUGGGGAGACACAGAUAUUUGCUGGAAUACAGAGCAACUUUUUUAAUUUCCAGGGAAUUUGGUUGGUAAGGAAAAAGGGUUUUGUUUCUUACUUGUCAAAUCUGUGACCUGAUCAAAGUGUUAUUUCCAACCUCUAGACCAUCUGCAGGCCUUAUUUUAUUUUUACUGUGGUAAAAAAAAAAGUAGGUUUCAUGUUACCCACCCUCCAUUUAGAAUGCCAACAAACUGCAGGCUCUUCUUGCCAGCGUUGCGAUUCUCGCUUGAGUUACUCCCAUCCUUUCUCUUCAUGAUUGAUUUCAGCAUACCUGUUACCAUAAUGGAAGAAGAUAGGUAAAAAAAAUAGUUGAUUAGUACACCAUUCAAACAUAUACCUCACAUGAUACAUGAUGUAAACAAAAUUGUGUUAUUAGUCUCUAUGUCUGGCAGAGAUGCUCACAAGUCUUUGAGCUAGAGUCCAAGUCAAGUCUCUCGUGGUUAUUACGAAUGUUGCAUCACCUGCUGCGUUCAAUCCAGGUUGCUAAUAAAACUUCAUAGCUAUAAGGAAUACUGUUAACCUGUUUUACAGAGCACAGCCAUGUAAUGUGCAAUGCAAUUAAUGACAGCUUAUUAAAUACUGUAAGUCAAUAAAACUGUGACGUUGCAUAAUCAACAAUA